rnacentral:rRNA from 1 species
AGUGAACGCUGGCGGUAGGCCUAACACAUGCAAGUCGAACGGCAGCACAGUAAGAGCUUGCUCUUACGGGUGGCGAGUGGCGGACGGGUGAGGAAUACAUCGGAAUCUACUUUUUCGUGGGGGAUAACGUAGGGAAACUUACGCUAAUACCGCAUACGGCCUACGGGUGAAAGCAGGGGAUCUUCGCACCUUGCGCGAUUGAAUGAGCCGAUGUCGGAUUAGCUAGUUGGCGGGGUAAAGGCCCACCAAGGCGACGAUCCGUAGCUGGUCUGAGAGGAUGAUCAGCCACACUGGAACUGAGACACGGUCCAGACUCCUACGGGAGGCAGCAGUGGGGAAUAUUGGACAAUGGGCGCAAGCCUGACCGAGCAAUGCCGCGUGGGUGAAGAAGGCCUUCGGGUUGUAAAGCCCUGUUGUUGGGAAAGAAAAGCAGAAGGAGAAAACCGCGCUGUUGUGACGGUACCCAAAGAAAAAGCAACGGCUAACUUCGUG